rnacentral:rRNA from 1 species
GUGGUAAUUCUAGAGCUAAUACAUGCUAAAAACCUCAACUUCGGAAGGGGUGUAUUUAUUAGAUAAAAAACCAAUGCCCUUCGGGGCUCCUUGGUGAUUCAUAAUAACUUAACGAAUCGCAUGGCCUUGCGCCGGCGAUGGUUCAUUCAAAUUUCUGCCCUAUCAACUUUCGAUGGUAAGAUAGUGGCUUACCAUGGUCUCAACGGGUAACGGGGAAUUAGGGUUCUAUUCCGGAGAGGGAGCCUGAGAAACGGCUACCACAUCCAAGGAAGGCAGCAGGCGCGCAAAUUACCCAAUCCCAAUUCGGGGAGGUAGUGACAAUAAAUACUGAUACGGGGCUCUUUCGGGUCUCGUAAUUGGAAUGAGUACAAUCUAAAUCCCUUAACGAGGAACAAUUGGAGGGCAAGUCUGGUGCCAGCAGCCGCGGUAAUUCCAGCUCCAAUAGCGUAUAUUAAAGUUGUUGCCGUUAAAAAGCUCGUAGUUGAACCUUGGACCUGGCUGAUCUGUCCUCCUAAUCGAGCGCACGGAUUCGGUCGGGUCUUUCCUUCUGGGGAGCCCUAUGCCCUUCACUGGGUGUAGUGGGGAACCAGGACUUUUACCUUGAAAAAAUUAGAGUGUUCAAAGCAGGCCUUUGCUCGAAUACAUUAGCAUGGAAUAAUAGAAUAGGACAUCGGUUCUAUUUUGUUGGUUUCUAGGACCGCUGUAAUGAUUAAUAGGGAUAGUCGGGGGCGUCAGUAUUCAAUUGUCAGAGGUGAAAUUCUUGGAUUUAUUGAAGACUAACUACUGCGAAAGCAUUCGCCAAGGAUGUUUUCAUUAAUCAGUGAACGAAAGUUAGGGGAUCGAAGACGAUCAGAUACCGUCGUAGUCUUAACCAUAAACUAUGCCGACUAGGGAUCGGACGGUGGUUUUUUUAU